UGGAGAUGUAGCGCGGAUUGAGCGGCGCGAGGGUGCGGGUGUCAUACCAGUUAUAGAGGUGGCCGCGAUAGUGCUCGAGCUUGUCCAGCGUAUCCAGC
rnacentral:tRNA from 1 species